rnacentral:sRNA from 12 species
CCUUGACAGCCGCACUGGGCGGCUGACACUAGCCACGACAAGGAGAUUUUUCAUG